ensembl:rRNA 5S_rRNA 5S ribosomal RNA
GUCUAUAGCCAUACCACCUUCGAUGCACUUCCCCUCAUCUGAUCUUGGAAGCUAAGCAGAAUCAGGCCUAGUUAGUAAUUGAAUGGCAGAUUAAAAUAGUCAAAUAAAUACCACGUGGAGAUAGCCU